ACGCAAGGGUUUGAGAUCGUUGUGCUCCACAUUCAAAAUCAUCAACAAAAAUAUGCAUUUUCCAGUUGCUGUAAGAAAUGUAUCUGGGUUUGUUUCAAACAGGAGGACAUCACUGGUGUGUAGGACACUCAUUCCAAUGUUUGAUUAGAAAGCUACAAGGCACUACUCCAGAGUGUUAAGAUUUCCUAUUACAGUUAUAAGACACAGGGGUCUGUUGGGACAGAAAAAUGUGUCACAGGGCAAUAAGGUUGUUGAUAUAUGAAAUUACCAUUA